CCUACGGGCGGCAGCAGUGGGGAAUAUUGCACAAUGGGCGCAAGCCUGAUGCAGCCAUGCCGCGUGUGUGAAGAAGGCCUUCGGGUUGUAAAGCACUUUCAGCGGGGAGGAAGGCGGUGAGGUUAAUAACCUCAUCGAUUGACGUUACCCGCAGAAGAAGCACCGGCUAACUCCGUGCCAGCAGCCGCGGUAAUACGGAGGGUGCAAGCGUUAAUCGGAAUUACUGGGCGUAAAGCGCACGCAGGCGGUCUGUCAAGUCGGAGGUGAAAUCCCCGGGCUCAACCUGGGAACUGCAUUCGAAACUGGCAGGUUAGAGUCUUGUAGAGGGGGGUAGAAUUCCAGGUGUAGCGGUGAAAUGCGUAGAGAUCUGGAGGAAUACCGGUGGCGAAGGCGGCCCCCUGGACAAAGACUGACGCUCAGGUGCGAAAGCGUGGGGAGCAAACAGGAUUAGAUACCCGAGUAGUC
rnacentral:rRNA from 1 species